CCUUCUCGCUUCCGGGGCGUUAGCUGAGCAUACUCAGGCCCCAGCCUGCUCGCGCUGGUUGUGUGCUGGGAACAGAGUUCCAGUCUAUACACUGGCGACCGGGGGGAGGGAGAUCCUUUGGAGCACUCGGAAGCGGGUUCUGACCAGCCUGUGGGGUUCCCUAGAGGAGGCAUGAGCUGACUCUGAAGGGCAAACUGCAGUUGGCCUGGCAACUCUGGAGAAGAGCCACCCAGCAUAGGAGACGGCAGUGCAGAGGCACCCAGGGCCUGAUGCUGGGAGCUCAGAGCAGCUGGGGGUGUGUAUGCCUGAAGAAUGGUCGUAGAUGACACUGGAGGGUGGAUUAGAUCAAGGAAAGCCAUUUGCAGUGCGGGAGAGUUAGUGCCUACCCCAGAGUCUGGAGCCACCGUAUGUGAUCAGGUUCACAUUUUGGAAAGAUCACUGUGGGAACAAUAUAGAAAGAAGAUGAUUUAGGAUGAGGUUAGAUUUGGGAUCCAGAGAUCAGUUAACUGUCCCCACAGUUAGCCAUAUUAAAGUGGUUAAGGAAAUUGACUGCCAAUCUUUAGUUUCUUUAUCAAUAAAAUGAAUAAUUCC
rnacentral:lncRNA from 1 species